rnacentral:tRNA from 1 species
GCCACUGUGGUGGAAUUGGUAGACGCGAUGGACUCAAAAUCCAUUGGUAGCAAUACCGUGUCGGUUCGAGUCCGACCAGUGGCACCA